GGGGAAUUUUGGACAAUGGGCGCAAGCCUGAUCCAGCAAUGCCGCGUGCAGGACGAAGGCCUUCGGGUUGUAAACUGCUUUUGUACAGAACGAAAAGCCUUGGGUGAAUACCCUGAGGACAUGACGGUACUGUAAGAAUAAGCACCGGCUAACUACGUGCCAGCAGCCGCGGUAAUACGUAGGGUGCGAGCGUUAAUCGGAAUUACUGGGCGUAAAGCGUGCGCAGGCGGUUUUGUAAGACAGAGGUGAAAUCCCCGGGCUCAACCUGGGAACUGCCUUUGUGACUGCAAGGCUGGAGUGCGGCAGAGGGGGAUGGAAUUCCGCGUGUAGCAGUGAAAUGCGUAGAUAUGCGGAGGAACACCGAUGGCGAAGGCAAUCCCCUGGGCCUGCACUGACGCUCAUGCACGAAAGCGUGGGGAGCAAAC
rnacentral:rRNA from 1 species